UCCUUCUUAGCUCAGUUGGUAGAGCGCGUCACUAGUACUCAUAUUGUCAUCACUAGUACUCAUAUUGUCAAUGACGAGGUCAGUCGUUCAAGUCGGCUAGAAGGAA